rnacentral:tRNA from 1 species
GUCCCCGUCGUCUAGCCAGGUCAAGGACACAAGCCUUUCACGCUUGCGACACGGGUUCAAAUCCCGUCGGGGACGCCA